AAUUAACUAGAUUAUGUUAGGUGGAAUAUUAAUCAGAAAUUUCUGGUUAACAGUCCACCUAACAUAAUCUGGUU
rnacentral:miRNA from 1 species